GACGAACCGUGCGAACGUUGUUCGGAAUCACUGGGCUUAAAGGGCGCGUAGGCGGGCUGUCCAGUCUGGGGUGAAAUCCCGCGGCUCAACCGUGGAACUGCCUUAGAUACUGACGGCCUCGAGGGAGAUAGGGGCAUGCGGAACUGUAGGUGGAGCGGUGAAAUGCGUUGAUAUCUACAGGAACUCCGGUGGCGAAGGCGGCGUGCUGGAUCUCUUCUGACGCUGAGGCGACGAAAGCUAGGGGAGCAAACGGG
rnacentral:rRNA from 1 species